rnacentral:rRNA from 1 species
AGUGAACGCUGGCGGUAGGCCUAACACAUGCAAGUCGAACGGCAGCACAGGAGAGCUUGCUCUCUGGGUGGCGAGUGGCGGACGGGUGAGGAAUACAUCGGAAUCUACUCUGUCGUGGGGGAUAACGUAGGGAAACUUACGCUAAUACCGCAUACGACCUACGGGUGAAAGCAGGGGACCUUCGGGCCUUGCGCGAUUGAAUGAGCCGAUGUCGGAUUAGCUAGUUGGCGGGGUAAAGGCCCACCAAGGCGACGAUCCGUAGCUGGUCUGAGAGGAUGAUCAGCCACACUGGAACUGAGACACGGUCCAGACUCCUACGGGAGGCAGCAGUGGGGAAUUUUGGACAAUGGGCGCAAGCCUGAUCCAGCCAUGCCGCGUGCGGGAAGAAGGCCUUCGGGUUGUAAACCGCUUUUGUCGGGGAAGAAAUGCUCCGGGAUAAUACCCUGGGGAGAUGACGGUACCCGAAGAAUAAGCACCGGCUAACUACGUGCCAGCCGCCGCCGUAA